rnacentral:rRNA from 1 species
UACGUAGGGUGCAAGCGUUGUCCGGAAUUAUUGGGCGUAAAGAGCUCGUAGGUGGUUUGUUGUGUCGGCUGUGAAAUCCCGAGGCUCAACCUCGGGUCUGCAGUCGAUACGAGCAAACUAGAGUGUUGCAGGGGAGACUGGAAUUCCUGGUGUAGCGGUGAAAUGCGCAGAUAUCAGGAGGAACACCGGUGGCGAAGGCGGGUCUCUGGGCAACAACUGACGCUGAGGAGCGAAAGCGUGGGGAGCGAACAGG